AGGGUGGGGCGGGGAAGGAAGGGGGCGGGCAGAGGUCCUCUGCUCCCGGGCCCGGCGGGAACAAACUGCCGCGGUGGCGGGAGCUAGGCUCGCUUGGCUGGAGGCGGGUCAUCCUUCUCCUCGCAGCUCCCGCAACCCCGUGGCUCCCUGGAGCCACCACCACCUUCAGUGCGCUCAGUUACUGGAAGUCAAAGCUUAUGCCGGCGCAGCUGCAUCUGGUGGUGGCAGUGGCUACAAACCUCCUCUCCUCAUCUCCCCAAGGCGGCGCCCGGGCCACCCGGGCCGAAGCGCGGAUGGAUCGCCAGUGAGCCGAGAUGGCCAGACCGACGCCGCGGACAAGGACCUACUGGAGGCUAAGGGAGUUCUGGAGGACAAGUGAAGAGAGUGAUCCAGAGGAACAAACUCGGGCGCCGGAAGAUCCUACUCAGAUAGGCUAAAGAUUCCAAUGGAUGGAGGAAGAGAAGGCUUCGUAGGAACCAGAACAGCUGUCAGCUGCAGAGCCAAGCUUCUCCAGGAAGCCUGAGUCAUCCUGAGUCCCUCCCAUCUCAGAAAUGAUGUGUAGUUUCCAAAACAAUUUAUCUCUACUGGAACAAGGAAAUAAACAAAAGAAAAAGGAAGAGAUAGAAUCCAGGAAGCAGAAGGCGUAACACAGGACCGAGAUGAAGGGAUGGUGAGAGAAAUUCCAGAGUGACAUCUGUACAGCAGACGUGGAGAACCACCAGACCAGCCUGGAGCCAGAGGACAGAAAGCUGGGAGAGCUGUCCCCAGGAGGCAGACAAAACAUGCAGCAAAAACAGUGCUGAAUUUCCUUAUACAUUUGCUCUUUUGAAAAAUUGUACUGUUGGAAAAAGAGGGAAAAUUUAGCAGUAGAUAGAAGCUGAGCAAAUGAAAGCAAAAAAGACAUAGCUAGGGACAGGAAAAAUUAAAAAAUUGAACACACAAAAGUCAAGAGCACUGUAUACUCAUGAUUUAUCAGAUAAUAAAAUGCAUACAGUAUACAAAGUAA
rnacentral:lncRNA from 1 species